rnacentral:tRNA from 1 species
UAUAAUGGAGUGUAUAUGCACAAUUGUUUUUGAUUCAAUUAGAUAUAAGUUAUAUUUAUACUUUAUAA